CAUGCAAGUCGAACGAACCUUCGGGUUAGUGGCGGACGGGUGAGUAACGCGUGAGAAUCUGCCCUCAGGAGGGGGAUAACAGUUGGAAACGACUGCUAAUACCCCAUAUGCCGAGAGGUGAAAUGAAUUUCGCCUGGGGAUGAGCUCGCGUCUGAUUAGCUUGUUGGUGGGGUAAUAGCCUACCAAGGCUUCGAUCAGUAGCUGGUCUGAGAGGACGAUCAGCCACACUGGGACUGAGACACGGCCCAGACUCCUACGGGAGGCAGCAGUGGGGAAUUUUCCGCAAUGGGCGAAAGCCUGACGGAGCAACGCCGCGUGAGGGAUGGAGGCCUUUGGGCUGUAAACCUCUUUUCUCAAGGAAGAAGAUCUGACGGUACUUGAGGAAUAAGCCACGGCUAAUUCCGUGCCAGCAGCCGCGGUAAUACGGGAGUGGCAAGCGUUAUCCGGAAUUAUUGGGCGUAAAGCGUCCGCAGGCGGCCGUUUAAGUCUGUUGUUAAAUCGUGGAGCUCAACUCCAUCACGGCAAUGGGAACUGUUCGGCUUGAGUAUGGUAGGGGCAGAGGGAAUUUCCGGUGUAGCGGUGAAAUGCGUAGAUAUCGGGAAGAACACCAGUGGCGAAAGCGCUCUGCUGGGCCAUUACUGACG
rnacentral:rRNA from 1 species